CAAACAGGAUUAGAUACCCUGGUAGUCCACGCCGUAAACGAUGAGUACUAGGUGUCGGGGUUUCAAUACUUCGGUGCCGCAGUUAACACAUUAAGUACUCCGCCUGGGAAGUACGAUCGCAAGAUUAAAACUCAAAGGAAUUGACGGGGGCCCGCACAAGUAGCGGAGCAUGUGGUUUAAUUCGAAGCAACGCGAAGAACCUUACCUGGGCUUGACAUCCCAAGAAUCCUGUGGAAACACGGGAGUGCCCUUCGGGGAACUUGGUGACAGGUGGUGCAUGGUUGUCGUCAGCUCGUGUCGUGAGAUGUUGGGUUAAGUCCCGCAACGAGCGCAACCCUUGCCUUUAGUUGCCAGCAUUAAGUUGGGCACUCUAGAGGGACUGCCGAGGAUAACUCGGAGGAAGGUGGGGAUGACGUCAAAUCAUCAUGCCCCUUAUGCUUAGGGCUACACACGUGCUACAAUGGGUGGUACAGAGGGUUGCCAAGCCGUGAGGUGGAGCUAAUCCCUUAAAGCCAUUCUCAGUUCGGAUUGUAGGCUGAAACUCGCCUACAUGAAGCUGGAGUUGCUAGUAAUCGCGAAUCAGCAUGUCGCGGUGAAUACGUUCCCGGGCCUUGUACACACCGCCCGUCACACCAUGAGAGUUGGCAAUACCCAAAGUUCGUGAGCUAACCGCAAGGAGGCAGCGACCUAAGGUAGGGUCAGCGAUUGGGGUGAAGUCGUAACAAGGUAGCCGUAGGAGAACCUGCGGCUG
rnacentral:rRNA from 1 species